rnacentral:misc_RNA from 1 species
GAAAUGCGAUAAGUAGUGUGAAUUGCAGAAUUCAGUGAAUCAUCGAAUCUUUGAACGCACAUUGCGCCCCUUGGUAUUCCAUGGGGCAUGCCUGUUCGAGCGUCAUUUGUACCCUCAAGCUCUGCUUGGUGUUGGGUGUUUGUCCCCGUCUCCGCGCGUGGACUCGCCCCAAAGUGAUUGGCAGCCGGCGUACUGGUCCCGGAGCGCAGCACAUGUCGCCCAAACGAGUGCCUUGGUACGGCGGCGUCCAUAAGCCCCUCUCUCACGCUCUUGACCUCGGAUCAGGUAGGGAUACCCGCUGAACUUAAGC